CCUCAGGCCCAACAGCUCACAGCACCUAUAACAAGUGCUUCCAAGCUGCAGUCCCAGAGGCAUCAGCUCUACCUGCUGAAGGAGGGCGAGAGCAACGGAGGACAAGGUGUAGUUGUGGGAUUUCUCAAGAUCGGCCACAAGAAGUUAUUUCUGCUUGACCGACAGGGUUUGCACAUAGAGGCAGAGCCACUAUGUGUUUUGGAUUUCUACAUAGCAGAGAACUUGCAGCGACAUGGAUAUGGAUUGGAGCUCUUUGAGUUCAUGUUGCAGGUGA